UUUUGGGCGAUGUCCGGGCCAAAUUUGUAACGGUGGAUCACAUUUCAUCGCGUAUGUAAGAAGGAGACACCGGAGAAGAGACCGUCGUUGUAUCAGACGGACGGGUUGUUAGCCGAAAUCCACAUGCACAUGAACAGCUAUGAUAGCGGGCGUUUUGAAGCAUUGCAAUUGGGAAUAUUCCUGCAAUGUCUUUGUAACGGUGGAUUGGAUAUCCACGAUGUUUUCCCUUUCAAAGCGACGUAGCCUCUGUUGAAGGUAAAAUUAUAUAUCUUCAGUACAUGAAGUGUCAAUCUGGUGACCUGUACUCCUGGCCUGAUGGCGAGGCACAAUUCUACCUGUAUCUAUUUUGUGACAUUGACAGAGUCCUCUUCCACACAGUUGUCAUUGGGUCACCGAUCAUCUUGAAGUUCAUAAACUUGUAACCUGAAUGCAGAGAGAAAUAUUGCAUGUUAUUUCUUAUUGUCAGGUUUAGUGUACAGUGUAAUACUUUUUUUGCAUUUGCCAGUAAGAAGUUUACCAUAGAGUUUUUAACCAAAGGAAAAGAUUGUAGUUUGCAGUGUUAUUCUUGAACAUUUAUUAGAAUAGCUUAGUAGAAAUAGUACAUUUUACUUUCUUGUUCACGACUCUAUGUUCAAACAACAGAUGUAAGUUUUUUUUUAUUCAAUUUGUCCACUAAGUACUUUACAAUUGUCCUUUUGGCAUGCUGGAACUUACUGUUUUAUCCAAUGCAUUUAUUCCAGUGAUGACAUGAUUAUAUUUUAAUUAAUGUCACUUAGAACUACAUUACCAUGUACAUGUAACUGAGGUAAAAUAAGUUAGAGUAAACAAAUUGAACAAGUUAUAUGUGUAAGGUAUUAAUACAUUGUCCAUGAAUUGCAUGCCAACUUUGUGUUGUUUUGUCUUGAAAAACCAUACAUGUAGCUUAGAAGAACUAAACUAGUACCUUUUCCUACAUAUUUUUCACCCGAGUAUUGUAUCAAAGGUAUCAAAAUUAUAAUCGUGUACAUGUAUGAAUAAAAAAAAACAUUUUACCUGUUCAUUGAUGCAUUUUAGAAGCUUGCCUGUAGAUGUUGUAUUUCUACACUUGAGUAAGAUGAGUUAACUCGCAUUAGUGUGUUGAUACUAAAAGAAUGGCAAGUACAUGUAAUACUAUUCAAUAUGAUCAUUACAAGGACAUGAUGUCCAUGUAACGGAGGUAUGUACAUUUGAAAGUAAUAUCGUGAAGGAGAUAUUUUAAAGUAAUAAAGAUUUGGAGAUCAUAAGCUAGCACUCUUUUGUUUUUUCCCCUUUAGACAGAAACAUUUGUUUCCAGAGAUAGACGGAAGUGGAACCUUGAGGAUUACCUUAGUAUUAUUUUAAAUAUAAAUUUAUCAAUAAUUUUGUACAUUUUUCCUUGUUUAAACUCUAAUCUAAAUUGCUUUUAUUUGCAAAGAAUUUGACAUGAAAAAUGUUUUUUAGUAUAAUCAAUUGAUCUUGUGCAAAUAUUCUAAGGCAUGAAGUGGAAUUUGGUGUGUAAUGGCCAUUAAUGGACAUUAACUUAACAUUGCUUCUAAGUAUACCUCUGUUACUGAGACAUGAUGUCCAUGUAACGGUGGUAACACUAAAAAUAGAAGGUUAUGCCAGAAAGAGUAGUUUAGUUUUUCCAAAGAGAAUAAUCCAUUCUGUUGAGGCAUGACUUCUCUCAACUAUUUAGUUCUACAUGCCAUCAUAAAUUCAAUUUUCUAGA